AAAGCUUUAUAUCUAUCGAUAUGCACCAAAAAGAAAAAAAAAAACUCUUCAUCCUCAUAAAUUAGAUAUGUACCAAUGUAAAAGUUUUGGAAUUUCAGUGAAAAUAGCCUGUAAUGGUGUUUCUUCACUAUUAUCCUCUAAUAUGUUGACCAUCAAUAAGGCCAUCGGUAAUCCCCGUUCUAUAUUUAUCCCCAAGCUUGUUACCUGUGAAAGAAAAACAUUUCAACAAAUUGUAAGCUACCACAUUAAAGUCUAAAUAAAGAUAGCGACAAUCACAGGGAGUGUAAUCAUUUUUAAAAUGACAUAUAUGUUAAUGCAAUU
rnacentral:lncRNA from 1 species